rnacentral:rRNA from 1 species
UACGUAGGGGGCAAGCGUUGUCCGGAUUUAUUGGGCGUAAAGAGCUCGUAGGCGGUUUGGUAAGUCUGGUGUGAAAUCUCCACGCUCAACGUGGAGGGGCCACCCGAUACUGCCAUGACUGGAGUCCGGUAGAGGAGUGUGGAAUUCCCGGUGUAGCGGUGAAAUGCGUAGAUAUCAUUUGGAACGCCAAUGGUGAAAACAGGUAGCUGGGGAUGUGCUGACGCUGAGACACGAAAGCCAGGGGAGCAAACGGG